rnacentral:rRNA from 1 species
AUUGAACGCUGGCGGCAGGCCUAACACAUGCAAGUCGAGCGAGCGGCGGACGGGUGAGUAAUGUAUGGGGACUGCCCGAUAGAGGGGGAUAACUACUGGAAACGGUGGCUAAUACCGCAUACUAUCGGAUAACCCAUAUGGGAUUAGCUAGUAGGUGGGGUAAAGGCUCACCUAGGCGACGAUCUCUAGCUGGUCUGAGAGGAUGAUCAGCGACACCGGGACAUAGACACCGCCCAGACUCCUCCGGAGGCAGGAGUGGGGAAUAUUGCCAAAUGUGCGCAAGCCUGAUGCAGGCAUGCCGCAAGUGUGACGAAGGCCGUAAGGUUGAAUAAUACUUUCAGCGGGGAGGCGGUACCCGCCGAAGAAGCACCGGCUAACUCCGUGCCAGCAGCCGCGGUAGUAC